rnacentral:tRNA from 1 species
CAAAAUGUAGUUUAAUCAAAACACUUCGCUUACACCGUAGAAAUAUCUGUGAGACCCUUAUCAUUUUGAG